GCUCGAUUAGCUCAGUUGGUUUAGAGCUUCGUACUUAUAUUGGAACAGUUUCGUUUUAGAGACGUUCAUAUACUUUAAGAAAUGCGGCGGUCACCAGUUCGAUCCUGGUAUUGAGCA